AGAUCUGACUCUGCAGCCAUCCCUCACCACUCCUGCUUGGACAUCGCCAGGCUCAGCUAGAGAAGGCAGAAAAAGUUCCUCCAACUCCUUCCCCAGGCACCUAUGCAGGCUCCACACUCCUGCCUGAACAGCUAUGAUUUUAAAAGCCAUCGAGUCAUGAAGAGAAGUGUGCCAGUGUGUGCUGGACUCAGUUUCCCCUGUGCACCAUUUUCCCCAGUCAGCCCUGCACCUUCCAAGAACUAUGACCCGAAGGCACACCCUAGUCAGCUCAGGCCCCACAUUCCUGCAAAAAUAAGGCUCCAGGGCUCCCUCAUCGCAGCAUGGGUUCUGCAGGAAGCCCCAGUGCCAAGUGGCUUUCAAAACUAGCCUCAGCUAGCAACGUGGCGGCUAUUUCAGCGACCGACAAAAGCAGCUCCCCCAGCCUCCCUUGGUGUUUGUGGUCCCUUUUGUUCCAGCCAGGCACCAUGAGGAAAAUGCAGCAACCGUUUGGAAACAAAGGCUCGGGCAGGCUCUCUCCAGUCUGAAAAGCCCACUUUCACUUGAGUUUCAGGUAAUUUGCUGUGCAGCCUGAAUUCGUUAGACAAAUUAGGCUCACUUGGACUUCAGGUGGCUCAAUUACCUGGGUGAUUUGCAUGUUUAUGAGUGAAGGGGACUGCACAGUAGCAGAAAGCAAAUUUGAAAUCCUGACUUUGGGGGCCCUGGAGCCCCUUUGCUGCACCUUUACUUUCCCUACCAGAAAGGAGGAAGGACAGAGUAGCUCCCCAGCAAGCAGAUCAGCGGAUGUCACAUAACCACAGGGCAGUCAUCAGGGAGCACGACCCCUCCCCAGGGCCACGCAGGCCUUAGUUUCUCCUUCUGGAUCUGCCAGCAAAACAAAGGUAACUGCCUAAGAACAGCUUCCAAAGAUGGAAGAAGAAAGUGAGAAAAUCUAUAUUAUUGAUCGUUCAUACCUAAGGAAAAGAGGCAAGAGGAUUCCCAUAGCCCAGCUGGGAGGUGCCAGAAACUUUUAAAGGUGCUUUAUAAAGUAUCCUAAAUCUACUCUACAACCCUAAAAGUGAAAUAUUUUCACUCAAAGAAGCUGAGAUUUCAAGGUUGAAUAUCUUGCAUGCACAGCUAGUUACUGAGAGGUUAAGAAUUGCCAAAAAAGACCUGUGCCUUCCCUCUGAUAUUCCCUGGGUUUAGUUCUUCUCUCCUCCUUCUGCCAAGAGACCACUGAGAAGUGCCUCCGAAGAGCUAAGGGCUGCCCCAGGUGGUUAUGUGGGAGCUGGAGAAUUUCCCAAAAAGCUUCGUGAAGAGCUUGAAACCCCAGAAGAGAUCCCUUGGGGAUGGGAGUUGCUCCAGGACAGAAGAAGCAGUGAGUCAAGGCUUGAGGAUCUGGAGACUAAGCAACUCUCAAGAGAAAGUUCUGCUGGGACCCCUCCCUUGGUCUUCCCUUUCUGCCCCCUCUGAUGCCCCCUUCAUCCAUCCCUGCCUGCCUUCUGGUCUGUCCCUGCAGCGUGAGUGCCAGACAGAGGCCUGUUCUGAUGUCCUGACAUGCUACAAUUAUGCAGAUUUACACAGCAAGCAUAAGACCUUCUCCGCAUGUAUGGCUUCCCCAUUCCCAAGCAGACCAUGAACUUCCUAAGGAAAGUGACCGAAUUCCGCACUUCUCAACCCUCGCGGAGGGGCAGGGAGAUGGUAACCAUGUCACAACCAGUUCCUCCCAGAGGAUUCAACAUCACUGCUCAUCUCCUCAGACCAAUCAAGAGGAUUGGUCAUUGGGAAGUCAUCCUGAGCUGUGACCACUCUCUGGAACCCAGAACUUCCUGCUUCACAUGGACUGGAUGAAUGUCUAGGGGCACAGCUGUUUCCAGACACCUGGUUUGUCUUCAGAAUCUCAAAUCUUAAAGGCUUUCUGGUCCAACCAUCCAAUGCAUGGUGAGGCCCCUUCUGGAUUGCCCCUGCCUGCAGCAUCCUGGUGUGUGCCUACAUAUUUCCAGGGACAGCCAGGAAGAUUCCAUGCAAUUAUGUGUUCCCUGUUCCAGGGGAGCCCACAGCUUGAUCAGGGGACAGACUGUAUCUUCCAUCAACUCAAGAACUAAGACUCAAAUUAAAAAAAUGCAAGGCUGGGGGCCAGGAUGAAGAAAUAAAGAGAGGGUGAAAUCAUUCUGGGAAGUUUCCUUGAAAGGGGUGAGUCAUAAAGAGGGGGUUGGGUGCAGGUGAGGAGGAGGAAGAUUACAGACUGCAGGGAUGAGCAAAUACCAUUUCCCAGGAUUUCCUGAAGUUUUUCUCCCCUCCCAAAGCCCAAAUCUGCCUCUUUCUGGGGCCCAGCGAGGACCCUGGAAGACAGAGAUCCUAGAAAAAGCAGAGGGAAAAGAAGAGGAAGAGAACAUGGAGAAACCGCCAGGGAACAGAACUCUUGGUCCAGGAGGCGCAAACCACAAGUGCAAUUAGUCAAAAAAAAACCCUGAAAUUAAAAAAUGAUUCCAAGCUGAAAAAAAAAAAAAAAA
rnacentral:lncRNA from 1 species